AUUGAACGCUGGCGGCAGGCCUAACACAUGCCAGUCGAGCGGAUGAAGGGAGCUUGCUCCUGGAUUCAGCGGCGGACGGGUGAGUAAUGCCUAGGAAUCUGCCUGGUAGUGGGGGAUAACGUCCGGAAACGGGCGCUAAUACCGCAUACGUCCUGAGGGAGAAAGUGGGGGAUCUUCGGACCUCACGCUAUCAGAUGAGCCUAGGUCGGAUUAGCUAGUUGGUGGGGUAAAGGCCUACCAAGGCGACGAUCCGUAACUGGUCUGAGAGGAUGAUCAGUCACACUGGAACUGAGACACGGUCCAGACUCCUACGGGAGGCAGCAGUGGGGAAUAUUGGACAAUGGGCGAAAGCCUGAUGCAGCCAUGCCGCGUGUGUGAAGAAGGUCUUCGGAUUGUAAAGCACUUUAAGUUGGGAGGAAGGGCAGUAAGUUAAUACCUUGCUGUUUUGACGUUACCAACAGAAUAAGCACCGGCUAACUUCGUG
rnacentral:rRNA from 1 species